rnacentral:tRNA from 1 species
GCGAGUGUAGCUCAGUUGGUAGAGCAUCAGCCUUCCAAGCUGAAUGUCGCCGGUUCGAGCCCGGUCUCCCGCU